UCCUCUGCACGGCCCCGAGCCUCGGUGUCGUGCUACCUCUUCCCCACCUCCUCUGCAUGGCUUGGCGUUGAGACCUGGCGUCGCGCAACCUCUGCCCCUGUCUUGGCGUUGCUGCAGCAUGGGACAAAAUCAACCGUGUUCUUCCCCUUCCCUGGGGAUGCCUUUGUACAUAAACCAGAUCUUGAAAAGCAUAUGGAUAAUCCCAUAGUCCAGCAGCUGCAAAUGGAGGUCAACUACGCUGAAACCAAAAGCCAAAGCCAUCAUUACAAGAAAUAGCUCAAUAAGGUGAUAGUAGAUCACGAGGUUGCAAUGCAGCUCGAUAAGGUGAUUGCAGAUCAUGAGGUUGCAAGGACAACUGGUUAGCAAUUCUCCAGCUUUAUUUUUAUUAUGUUAUGAGGUUGCAAGGAUAACUGGUUAGCAAUUUCUUCGGCUUUAUUUGAUCAUGUUAUGCAGCUCAAGAAGCAAUUCUUCAUCUUUGCGGACUUGAGGUCCUACUGGUUCUCACCGAGGCCACAUUCCGAAGCAUUGUCUUGUGCCCAGGUCCAUUUUGUAAGUUAGGUUUGUCAACUAUAAUGAAAUAGAGCAUGUGUUUUGGGACUAUAUGUUUUCUGAAACUGCAACUGGCUUGCGAUGGCCCAUUUACAUGUGUGGUCGGUGUUUUUGUAUAAAUGAAUUGAUGCCACACUUGAAUAUUCAGUGUGUCAGAUGUGAGUGAUGAAUAUUCACACUCUUGCACCAGAUCGUUUUUCUCUUCUUUUUCAUUCCGAACUUUGUUUUGGUGUUCCUCUCUGCCUACUGGCUUAUUUUUUCUCGCCGCCGUUCUUCAUGUCCAGAUUAUGCCCAUGGCCGUAUAUGCUCCAUCUCUGGGGUCAUUGGGUUAUUUUCCUUGGUCUGCUUCUAUUGUAUGGUACAACCUCAACAGCCACGCAGGUGAAUCUGCUGGAAUUACAAGGACUGAUCUAUGCUAAGAAGCUUAUUGUUGAAGAUGCUGCUGGUGCAUUUGCAAAGAUUGCGGUAGCGCCACUAGAGAGGGUCAAGAACUUACUUCAGGCUCGAACCGGAGGGUUUCAAUCCCUUGGGAUCAUCGUAUCCUUGAGGAAGUUGUGGAAAUACAAGUGAAUUCAAGGUUUUUACAAAUAUUGUUGGGAAACAUUCCUUAAGCUUUGACUGUCGAAUUCAGCAUGUUGAUUUUGAGCUCUGACUGCUGAAUUCACAACAUUGAUUUUCAUGCUUUGACUUCUCAACAAAGAUUAAUUAUUAUUUAAGGUCUGAUGCAAUGUCUGCACAUGUCUGCACAUGUUUGCUUGGUGGGAUAAUUACCUGAAAGUAUUUGUGUUUACACGGCCGGCGCCAGCUUCUUCCUCCCUAUCGGCCAGGCGAGGUGGUCAGCAGGAAGAGGUAGGCAAUCGGUACCUCCCCUUCU